AUGAUAGGGACCCUGCUUGGUUUUUAGAUCAGAAACUUUGCUGACCGCGGGCAGUCUUGAAAUCAAAGGAAAAUGACUCCGGGCAGUCCCAUUCCACAGUUUUUGCUCUUCGGCAAAGUACCUCGAGAAAACACACAAUUCUGCCUGCAUUUUCCCUUUAUUCUCUUCAAAAUUCGAUGCUUUUGCCCUGUAUUCAAAACGAGGUUUUAAGGAGAGAACACUUUCUUUUUCCCUUAAAACAAAAGUCAUAUUUCUAUAUUUUGUUACUGGUGAAUUGUUACUACAUUCUACAUUGUCCUGUUUCUACAUUCAGAAUCUAUUAGUCUUGUUUCUUUUUCAAAGAACAAAAUUUCCAACUGGGCUUUUGUGGAUUUGACUUGUUCGUAACAACCCAGAAAUCAGAAUAACAAGAAACUUUAAUUUUCUUCCAUCCCCUUGUUGUCUUCUCUUCAUUACCUGAAAUACCCAGAAGGUAUUUUCCUACCUUUUUUUCCAACUACAGAGAGAGAUCAAGAAAUUUAUUGGUUGUUGUUCGUACAUGAAUUAGUGAAACAAUGAGAAAUGAGAGCUCCAAGAGAAGUAAGGUGUGUAAAAAAACUGAAAGUGCAUUAAUGAAUUUUCCUGCUUUCAAGAUUUCUGAUUUUUGGUGUUUAUUGAUGAAGCUUUUUUGGCCUAAAACACUGGUGAAGAAAUGGUUCAACGUCAAGAGCAAAUCCCAGGACUUCCAUGCUGAUG
rnacentral:lncRNA from 1 species